rnacentral:lncRNA from 1 species
UUGAAACUUUAAAAUAUUUAUUAAUAUUCAAUUUAUUUACAUUUCAAUAGUAAACACUACUAUGACAAUGGGUACAUAUUCAUGACAAUGGGUACAAAUUUGAUUUUUUUGCACCCCUGUUGACCUUGGUCAACAGGGGUCACACCCUUGUGCACCCCCCUAUACAUCCACCCCUGACUACACCAUCCUCAACAGGGUCGUGCAGGCAAAAAAAAAUGCUGUACCAUCAGUAUUCAAAUUGGAAUUCAAACUGCAAAGCAUACCAAAAGAGGCUAGAAGCCAACAGAAAAUGCCUGAAGGAAGUUCAACCCAUCAAGGCCAUAAACAUCCAAUUAUGUCACAUGAGCAACUAUUGUCCAGGGUUGGUAGGUUUGCUGAAUAACUAGGCCAAACACCGUCACACUAGGCCUUUGUGUUCUAAUAGUGCACCAGUGAUGAUUUGGCCUAAUUAUUCAUCUAACUUACCAACCCUGCUAUUGUCAACAACAAUAUCAUCACAUAAUACAGGAAGGUAUUAAUAGCAGAAGUGUAACUCAAGCAAAAAUCUGUCCGUGUUUUUCAAUGCACAUGAGCGAUAAGCCUGACAACACAGCUGACACCAAUAUUACGCCAUCAUUUGCCAUCCUGGCAAGUACAACUGGUACUUUGUACUUUACCGGCUGUUUUAGCCAGGAUGGCGUGGAUUGGUGUGAGCAAGUUAAAAUUUCAGUAGACAAAAACAUCAAAGGCACCAACUCAAGAUACACUUCUGCUAUACCUUCCUAUUGUGUGAUAUCAUAAUCACUGCUAUGGAAAACGGCAAAAACUAAUACAACAGACACCACUGCAGGCAAUCAAUAAUUCACUUCAAGAUCAAGAAAUUUCUAAAAAACAAUUAAAACAUAAAAUUAAAAACUUACAGCAGCAAUUGCAAAGAUGUAAGAAGAUAGGGAACAUGGCACAAUUUAUUGACAGACUGCAAGAAGAGUUCAUCAUAAAAUCGGUGUGAUAUAAAAUAGUCAUAAAUAUGUGUGAAAGUUUUGUCAUCUGGUCGAAAAUUAUGUCAUUGAAAUCGUGAGAAAAUACUAUAAUUAAGAUGUACCACUUACUUAACUAGUUAGUUUUAUUAAAAGCAGAUAUUUACUUUUUAUAAACUAAUUCUAUCACGUUUUCUUCAUGAGUCACGAGCGAUUCCUUUACUGUUUUACACUUCACAGUACGGCAAGCACUGCAGCGAGUCUGUUGUGCAGAAUUGAGAAUGGAAUACCCAGUACAUGACAGGCCUCGUUUAAACAAGUUGAUCUUGUUUAAAAACCAAUAGUUAUCAUGAAAAAAGUAAAAAUAAUUCAAUACUUAUCUUGUAAUCAAUUAUUCGUCGACUGGAGUCCACAAAUAUAAUUGAAACUGAAGCAAUUCGUCGCUGUUGGAACGUUCGACUUUUUUUAUUGAAGUCACCAAUAUUUAAACGAUGCCGCUUGAUAUCCUUGUAAAAUAACUUUAAUACACGAUUGAUUGUAUCUUAUUACCAAGAAAUAUAUUUCGUAUUAUAAUUGCUGUCAAAAGAAUGCAAAUAUCUUAUAUAAUUGAAAUAAAAAACCCCAAAUUUGUCGGUCUUUCAAUAUAAAAUAAAAUCGCGCCAUUACCAUGCGUUCUCUGCCGACCGACACUUCGUGACAAACCCACGCAAAAAACACGCAUUACUGGCCGCCAUCUUGGCUUCGGGCAAGUAUGGGC